rnacentral:rRNA from 1 species
GAUGAACGCUGGCGGCGUGCCUAAUACAUGCAAGUCGAGCGAACAGAUGAGGAGCUUGCUCCUCUGACGUUAGCGGCGGACGGGUGAGUAACACGUGGAUAACCUACCUAUAAGACUGGGAUAACUUCGGGAAACUGGAGCUAAUACCGGAUAAUAUAUUGAACCGCAUGGUUCAAUAGUGAAAGACGGUUUUGCUGUCACUUAUAGAUGGAUCCGCGCCGCAUUAGCUAGUUGGUAAGGUAACGGCUUACCAAGGCGACGAUGCGUAGCCGACCUGAGAGGGUGAUCGGCCACACUGGAACUGAGACACGGUCCAGACUCCUACGGGAGGCAGCAGUAGGGAAUCUUCCGCAAAGGGCGAAAGCCUGACGGAGCAACGCCGCGUGAGUGAUGAAGGUCUUCGGAUCGUAAAACUCUGUUAUUAGGGAAGAACAAAUGUGUAAGUAACUAUGCACGUCUUGACGGUACCUAAUCAGAAAGCCACGGCUAACUACGUG